rnacentral:lncRNA from 1 species
GGCGGACCGACCAGAAGUUCGUGCUCUGAUGGCCGGGGAUGUGCAGAACUAGAGGAUGCGGAGCCGAUUGACAGCAGGCCUGAGAGAGAGAUCGAGCACUCACAGCCCAACAAAACAAUCAUCUGCUCUGCUGGAGUCAAGCAGCAGGUGCAGCUGGCAAUCUAACCUGCUGCUAGGUUUGCCAUCACCGUCCUUGGGUGACAAAACCAGAAAAAAGCAUGACACAGUGAGAGGAUGGCCAUCUGUGAACCAGGAAGUGG